rnacentral:lncRNA from 1 species
CCCAAACUGAGUCACCGAGAUUUACUCCCAACUUCUCCCAAAUUCGUCUCCUUAAUUUCCUCCAAAAGUCUCCCUAAUUGUCUCCUUAAUUUCCUCCUAAAGUCUCCCAAAUUAGUCUCCUUAAUUUACUCCCACAAUCUCCCUAAUGUAUCUUCUUAAUUUCCUCCUAAAGUCUCCCCAAUUCGUGUCCUAAUUUCCUCCUAAAUUCUCCGAGAUUUCAAGUUUGGUGUUUCAUAAAAAUCAAUUCCAAACCACAACAAUUACUGCUUUCCGUAGUUGAUCAUUUUAGUUUUAUAAGAAUGUCAGCCAAUC